GUAUUGAUUGCGGGUUAGCGCAUAUAUGAGGUCAUUCUACACUUUUAAAAGGGGGGGUUUGUGUGAAAACGCAAGCCCCCCUCGAGACAGGCCAGAAGGGGACCCACGCGGUGGUGCACAGGGUGAGAUGGAUUGUUUGAGAGCGCUCGGGCGUGCACGACAAAAAAGUCAGCGACAGCCCUUGCACCUCAGUUUUACGAUAAUGAUCCUUCCGCAGGUUCACCUACGGAAA
rnacentral:misc_RNA from 1 species